rnacentral:rRNA from 1 species
GAGAGUUGAUCAUGGCUCAGAUUGAACGCUGGCGGCGUGCUUAACACAUGCAAGUCGCGCGUGAAAGGACUUCGGUCCGAGUAAAGCGGCGCACGGGUGAGUAACGCGUGGAUGAUCUACCCAUGAGUUAGGAAUAACGGCUGGAAACGGUCGCUAAUACCAAAUACGCUCCGAUUUCAACUUCGGGGGAAAGGUGGCCUCUGCUUGCAAGCUACUGCUCAUGGAUGAGUCCGCGUCCCAUUAGCUAGUUGGUGGGGUAACGGCCCACCAAGGCGACGAUGGGUAGCCGGUCUGAGAGGAUGACCGGCCACACUGGGACUGGAACACGGCCCAGACUCCUACGGGAGGCAGCAGUGGGGAAUAUUGCGCAAUGGGCGAAAGCCUGACGCAGCGACGCCGCGUGAGGGAUGAAGGUCCUCGGAUCGUAAACCUCUGUCAGGAGGGAAGAACCGCCACGGUGCUAAUCAGCCGUGGUCUGACGGUACCUCCAAAGGAAGCACCGGCUAACUCCGUGCCAGCCGCCGC